rnacentral:tmRNA from 1 species
GCCCUUUUCAGGACGCGCGGAAGGCACUAUAUCCCUAUUGCCGGUCUUCGGGUCGGCUAUGGCGAUAAACGGGCGAUGGAAUAAACCUAUUGGACCCGGGGGCGGUACCCGGCGCCUCCACCAAAAACUGGCCAGCAGGCCGGCUUUUGAUGGGGGCGAAACAGGAUCGACAAGGGUGUAAAGAUCGACUUUUCGCUCGGCAUUGUACCACCGUUAUCGGGCUAAAAUUGUAGUUGCAAACGACAACUAUGCGGAAGCUCGUCUCGCUGCCUAAUGGCGGUGUGACACUUCAAAUAAAGUCCUGACGGUUCGCACCGGCAGGCGGGGUUCGAAGGCACCUGGCAACAGAAGCCUUCACC